UACGAAGGGGGCUAGCGUUGCUCGGAAUGACUGGGCGUAAAGGGCGCGUAGGCGGCUCAUACAGUCAGAUGUGAAAUUCCUGGGCUUAACCUGGGGGCUGCAUUUGAUACGUGUGGGCUUGAGUGGGGAAGAGGGUCGUGGAAUUCCCAGUGUAGAGGUGAAAUUCGUAGAUAUUGGGAAGAACACCGGUGGCGAAGGCGGCGACCUGGUCCUUGACUGACGCUGAGGCGCGAAAGCAUGGGGAGCGAACAGG
rnacentral:rRNA from 1 species